GUAGGGAAUCUUCCACAAUGGACGAAAGUCUGAUGGAGCAACGCCGCGUGAGUGAAGAAGGUCUUCGGAUCGUAAAACUCUGUUGUUAGAGAAGAACGUGCAUGAUAGUAACUGAUCAUGUAAUGACGGUAUCUAACCAGAAAGCCACGGCUAACUACGUGCCAGCAGCCGCGGUAAUACGUAGGUGGCAAGCGUUGUCCGGAUUUAUUGGGCGUAAAGGGAACGCAGGCGGUUUUUUAAGUCUGAUGUGAAAGCCUUCGGCUUAACCGAAGAAUAGCAUUGGAAACUGGAAGACUUGAGUGCAGAAGAGGAGAGUGGAAUUCCAUGUGUAGCGGUGAAAUGCGUAGAUAUUAGGAGGAACACCAGUGGCGAAGGCGGCUUUCUGGACUGUAACUGACGCUGAGGCACGAAAGCGUGGGGAGCAAACAGGAUUAGAAACCCGAGUAGUCC
rnacentral:rRNA from 1 species